GAAGGGAAGGGCGUUCGAGGUUCUUCGGCCGGCGUCGCCGGGCGGAGCUAAGACGGGAAGCCGGUGCGAUGCCGGCGCUGCCCCCGCAACUGUAAGCGGCGAGUGGACGACCGCUUGCGUGUCACUGGUGCCCCCAAGCGCCGGGAAGGCCGGGUCGCUCCGCACCGACCCGCGAGCCAGGAGACCUGCCUUGGGCGCCAUACCACU
rnacentral:ncRNA from 2 species